rnacentral:hammerhead_ribozyme from 1 species
UUCCUGAUUAUAUUACAGCCAUCUGAUGAGAUCCUUAAGCAAGAUCGAAACCGGUCAUGGUUGCUUAUACUUGAA